AACCUCUUGGUUCAUAGACGUGAUGAUUGGGUGUCCACAGGUUGGCAUGACAUGUGCCCCUCCAUAAGACCUUGUUACAUCGGCACAUUAUCCCUCCUCUGAUG